rnacentral:rRNA from 1 species
GACAGAGGGUGCAAACGUUGCUCGGAAUCACUGGGCGUAAAGGGCGUGUAGGCGGGCAGGUAAGUCGGGCGUGAAAUCCCUGAGCUCAACUCAGGAACUGCACUCGAAACUACUUGUCUUGAGCACCGGAGAGGAAAGCGGAAUACCUGGUGUAGAGGUGAAAUUCGUAGAUAUCAGGAGGAACACCGGUGGCGAAGGCGGUUCUCUGGGCAUGACCUGACGCUGAGGCGCGAAAGCGUGGGUAGCAAACGGG